rnacentral:misc_RNA from 1 species
GUGAAUCAUCGAAUUUUUGAACGCAAAUUGCGCUUCCUGGCAUCCCGGGAAGUAUGCCUGUUUGAGGGUCAGUAUUAACAUAAAAUCGGUUAGGUUGCAAAUGGUGACGUUUCCGGAGGUUGUGCGAUCUUAACUUUUUUGGGUAUGAUGCGUAAAAUUGACCUUUUUUGCGCAGUUUUAGACUUACAUAAAUUUUUUUUUUAUUCGUUGAGUCUUAGUGCCAAAAUCUUAGUAUAUGCAACCAUAUCGUGGGGGUUCGUUUCUAUAAAUUUUUCAUUAU